CAUAUUCUGUAUGCAUUUAUCUUCAAAACUUUUAAUCAAAAGAAAUGUUUCUGGCUGUAGCUGACAUCCAUCUCUAUAAUAUCUUUUGAAACUUCUUGAUAUAACAUGAGAAUUAAAUAUUGAGUGUUUAAAGGAAGUUGAUUGGCUAGUCAGGGAAACAGUUAUUUCAGAAAAUAAUAAAUUUGACUAAUUUUUCCCACUCUAUUAGCAAUAUCAUUUCUCUUUCUAUUUUACUUUUUAAAUGCACAGACAUUAUAAUGCAUAACAUUUUGACUAAUAUGUGAAAUUCUAAUACACAGUAUACUCAAACUUGUGCUUUUUAAGAAAAUCAGAAGAAAAAUCAACAUAACUCUUCUUCAGGAGUGUGUGUGUGUAUGCCUUCCUUUCAAGAUAAUUCAGAGGGGAAUUCUACUUUUUUCUGCUUUUUCUUCUCAAAAUAAUGUAAGCAACAACAACAAAAGUGAAGGUUAAGGGAAUAAGCAAAGUGAUACUGAAUGUGAUUUUGCAAAUGACCAUAGACUUGUCUGCACUGGACUAAGGAAAAUAUGAGCUAGGCUGGACACAGAGAUGUGCUUUACCUAAGUGAUGGGAGAGGAAAGGAAAGGAAAAAAAAUCAGUGGAGGCAGAAGGUAGACAGCGGGUAGAAAAGAUGAGGGAGAUGUAGGUCACAAGAUGCUUUAAGGAAAGAAG
rnacentral:lncRNA from 1 species